AUUGAACGCUGGCGGCAGGCCUAACACAUGCAAGUCGAGCGGAGCGGCGGACGGGUGAGUAAUGCCUAGGAAUCUGCCUGGUAGUUGGGGAUAAAGUACGGAAACGGGCGCUGAUACAGCAUACUAUCAGAUGAGCCUAGGUCGGACUAGCUAGUUGGUGGGGUAAAGGCCUACCAAGGCGACGAUCCGUAACUGGUCGGAGAGGAUGAUCAGUCACACUGGAACGGAGACACGGUCCAGACUACUACGGGAGGCAGCAGUGGGGAAUAUUGCACAAUGGGCGCAAGCCUGAUGCAGCCAUGCCGCGUGUAUGAAGAAGGCCUUCGGGUUGUAAAGUACUUUCAGUGGGGAGGCGUUACCCGCAGAAGAAGCACCGGCUAACUCCGUGCCAGCAGCCGCGGUAAUUC
rnacentral:rRNA from 1 species